rnacentral:rRNA from 1 species
GAUGAACGCUGGCGGCGUGCCUAUUACAUGCAAGUCGAGCGAACGGACGAGAAGCUUGCUUCUCUGAUGUUAGCGGCGGACGGGUGAGUAACACGUGGAUAACCUACCUAUAAGACUGGGAUAACUUCGGGAAACCGGAGCUAAUACCGGAUAAUAUUUUGAACCGCAUGGUUCAAAAGUGAAAGACGGUCUUGCUGUCACUUAUAGAUGGAUCCGCGCUGCAUUAGCUAGUUGGUAAGGUAACGGCUUACCAAGGCAACGAUGCAUAGCCGACCUGAGAGGGUGAUCGGCCACACUGGAACUGAGACACGGUCCAGACUCCUACGGGAGGCAGCAGUAGGGAAUCUUCCGCAAUGGGCGAAAGCCUGACGGAGCAACGCCGCGUGAGUGAUGAAGGUCUUCGGAUCGUAAAACUCUGUUAUCAGGGAAGAACAUAUGUGUAAGUAACUGUGCACAUCUUGACGGUACCUAAUCAGAAAGCCACGGCUAACUACGUG